UACGACGUAGCUCAAGCGGAUAGAGCGCCUGCUGUCUACGGAACCUUGAUGUGACAAUUGAGAAGUACGGGCAGGUAGAUGCGGGUUCAAGUCCCGUCGUCGUAC
rnacentral:tRNA from 1 species